GGGGUGUUCUGCAAUAUAGCCCAUCAAUGUGCGCCAGAAUAGUGGUGGCAUGUGCGGUGCUGCACAACAUGUGUGUCCGGCAUGGCAUUGGCCUCGACGCUACUGAUGAUGACCCUGUUUUCGACGAGGGCGGGGAUGACCCUGAGCCACCACGCAUGCAAGAAGACACAGCAGCUGGGAUUGCCGUACGUCGCCGGGUUAUCGAGGCCAUGCAUUCAUUGGCUGUGCAGACGUAAUGACAUGACAACGGACAGUCAUCAUCAUGUGCUCUGUGGCUCAAGCAAGGGUGACAGAUGAACAGGGACUACCAGUGACUGUUCCGGGCUCUUCACUGCACAAGUCAAAUUGAAAAGUACAUCACAAUGACUGGAAAACUUUCAAUUGUACGGCGGCUACUGGUGUGCAUGCACUUCAGGCUUUGAGCAGCAUAUUGUGCUGUAGUUCCUUGCACUUCAGUAUGAAAAUGUGUUCCAUUUAUUGCGCUCUGAAAGCAAAGUGCCCAGCAACCUCGCAUUUUCCGCUCACAGAGUAGCUGCCGUGGUCGGCAAUCUAAACUCCUUUCAUGCUUGGUGCUGCAACCCAGUAGCUGCGAAGCCAGCACCGUGGGCCAUUUUUUUCAUUUUUUACUUUGUUGCUGAAGAAGGACACGCACAGCAUAAAUGAACUUCUGUAAACUCUGGAGCACGUAUCUCUGUGAAAUACGACCCUUACUGUUUCAUAUGUGCACUUUUCUCUGCUUUGUCUCCUGUAGUAUAAUGUUAUCCCGCUGCCUGCCUGUAUUCCCUUACAAUGGAGCUCUCUGUACAAACUGUUUAUGUAUUUUCAUGUACCAUUUACCUGAGCAAGCUUCCUUGCAAUGUCAAUAGUUUCUCAUAUCUGCAGCACUUUGCUCACGCUUUUGCUGAAUUAUUUGCAGCUGUGCAGGUAAUUAACUCUACCGUGCGUCUACUUGUGCUCUUUAAUGCAUCUGUACCAUGGUUCACCCAGCAGGUGGAAUAAUGGCGUGCUUUAGUUGCAAAGCAAGCGACUUCUAGGAGGUUGUGAGGCUCAGGAAAUAUUUUGGUGAUCGCUACUAUGACUGCGUUCUGAUAAGCUAUGGUAGCUCCAUGGAAGUGUACUCAACAUUCAGUUCUUGUUUUAUUUCAGUGCGAGACUGAUGUGCUUGACCAUAUUUGCUUUUUUGUGCUUAUUGCUACGGGAACAUAUAGGCUACCAAAUGUUGCUUAUUUAUUGUGUGAUCCAAUGUGAUUGUGCCCGGCAGCAAUAUAUGCCUCAGGACAGCGAGACAUUGUGCCGCUAAAAUUGCACAAUCUUGGACAUUCAGAACGCGCCAGUGCGCAACAGUUUUCGGCCACCGAAAGAAAGGGCAGCAGUGCAAGAACUGGGCACAUGUGCACACUUGCGCACUUGCACACUCCCUUCAGGAGCGUUUUUGGGAGCGCCGCAGCGGUCUUAACGUAUUGAUAUCAGCAAUGUUUUCACUGAAGUAAUUUGUUAAUGUAAUCUGCAAGAUUACAACUACUAAUGUUAUUCAAUUGGUGUGUUAGUGAAAGGUCGGUCUGCUGCGUUACACGAUAGGGCUUACACUGCUAACGAAAUUUUACUCAUUCAACCGUAGCAGUCUCGCGAGUGCAUCAAAGUCGAGCAAUUUCAUCCUGUACAAAUGGCUUUCAUGCACUCUAUAUAUGUAUCUUUAAGCAGCCUAGCAUUGAUCAGCUGCUCGCACUUUGCUUUAUCUGGACUGCAUAGGAUAGCACUGCUGCAUUCUGUACUUUACUGUCGGGAACUUUUAUAGGCAGUACUUGUUUACUCACGUCUGUUGUUCUGUGGUUGCUGCCGCCGCCGCGGAGUGGUUCUGGUCUGAUGUGGCUGACCUAUAUUUAGAAAUGACAUAACUUGUAUCUACAGUCGCACACAAGUCUUGUGUCAUUUUACGGUCGCUAAAUGCAUUGUUGUUGAAGUGGCAUUUACUACAGUCGGAUCCACCUAGUCAAACUCGAACAUUCCACAUUGCUUUUUAAUGCAAUGAUCAUGCAUAACAUACAGCCUUGUGGCCUCAUGAUCAUGCGUGACACACAGCCUUGCAGCCUCCCACACAAUAGGAUUUUCAAAAAGUUCUUGUGAGUGGGUGGUUGCAGAGAGCUUGCACUAAUGUAUUUUAAGGUAGUUUGAAAAGCACUUAGUGCAUUGCAGCAGUCAGAGUGUUCUCAUCUGAAGGUAAUGUUAAUUUACUGCAUUCAGAUAUUAUACAUUUAUGUUUAAGCUUAUGCGCAUUUUUGUUCUUUAACAGCCCAUCUAAGAACUGCGCCUCAACUAGAAGAGUCCGGCAGUUUCGAAAUUAACAUGGUGCAAAUUAUUUUCAAGCUUGCCAGACCAACUUGCCCAAGCGUCGGCUUUAUGCUGCAUUCAUUUCAAGUAUCCAAGAGUAUUUGAAAAUAACGCUGAUGCACAUCUGUGUCAUUUCAUUAAGUGAACAGUUACUUUCGCUUUCCUUUGGUCACAUAAAAUUUACAGAAUUCUGAUGUAUUUUUUUCUCAGUUUGACAUUCCUGUACAUGUUCACUUUCUCAAGUAUGUUUGCUGUUGUGCAAAAAUUACUUUCACCCGAUGCAUAAAACGUACGCAUGAGGACAAGAGCGCCGUGUUUGUGCCCUUUCUUUGUCCCGUCUCGUAGCGCUGUUUUCUACGUGAAGAUGUUUCAUUUUACUUCGUGAAGUCGCGAGCAAAUGUUUGCACACCGCAACCGCGAAAAAUUAGUUCUAGCACAUCUCAAUACAAUGUACAUUGCUUUCACGGAACAGUGAGAUAUGGGCACUUAAGGCAGAGGGCUUCAUUUCACCAAGCAUGCCCAUGCUUCAAGCAUAAAAAGACUUGUCGACAACAUUUGUUCCCCAAACUCUUGCUCAUGACUGCACACACCUGUACAUAUGUGUUUUUUACUACUCACUAUUAUUGUAUGUGUUGGCAGUUACUGGUAGGGGCACAGACGUAGCCAAUCCGAAUAAGCAACCUUUGUGUUAACUCUUGUUAGGUCUACCUCAUGUGGUUUAAAAAGGAACUAAUGAUUCCAGCAGCCGUAUGCUUACCAGGGGCACCCUGGCUUUCUUGGUCGCCGGACCUGUACAAAUGCAGAAAAUGUUUUUCAUUUAUGGAGUGCCACGUCUUGAGUUAUUGCGCCUUACCCAGCAGCAGAAGGGAUAGCCAUGUCGGCUUCAUAGGUGCCUGCAGUAUAGAAAUGUAUGAAUCUCAAGGGCAUGCAAUGCAAGUCACAUUCGGUAAAGAAGCCAGUUCAAUCGAAACUAUUUAUUUUAGCUAUGCCGCUGCUUGGGAAAAUACGCUUUGUAUACUCGUAGGUUUCAGCAAGCAAUGACAGACAAUGUAAUACAAAACCACACAAUGUAAUACAAAGGGAAUGUUGCAGGACUGGUGUUUCGGAAAAUAGAUUUCUCUUUGUGAGGACAGCUGAAAUUGGAGCAUUGCAGAACAUUUUCACCCUAGUUUCUCACCUCUCUGUUACGCAUUGGGUACCUUCAUUAUAUUAAAACACGUCAUAAGUUAAACACUUUCAUUGGCCAUUUCGACUGUCACAGUAGUAUUACAUUUACUGCACACCAUUUUUCUUGCAAAGCUAAUUCCCUUGAUGCAGCAGUACCACUUGAAAGAUGGAAAGUAAAUACAACGACGUACAUAAAGCCAGCAGACCAUAACGAAUACCUAGUUUACAUUAGCCAACAGCAGCUAAAAGUAUCUGUCAGACAGGAAAUAGGCUGCUGCCCUGAAAAGUGAUUGUGAAAGGUUGCCUUGAGUGGCGUUUCUUGUUCGAUAUUGCACCAA
rnacentral:lncRNA from 1 species